rnacentral:rRNA from 1 species
GACGAACGCUGGCGGCGUGCUUAACACAUGCAAGUCGAACGGUAACAGGUCUUCGGAUGCUGACGAGUGGCGAACGGGUGAGUAAUACAUCGGAACGUGCCUAGUAGUGGGGGAUAACUACUCGAAAGAGUGGCUAAUACCGCAUGAGAUCUACGGAUGAAAGCAGGGGAUCGCAAGACCUUGUGCUAUUAGAGCGGCCGAUGGCAGAUUAGGUAGUUGGUGGGAUAAAAGCUUACCAAGCCGACGAUCUGUAGCUGGUCUGAGAGGACGAUCCGCCACACUGGGACUGAGACACGGCCCAGACUCCUACGGGAGGCAGCAGUGGGGAAUUUUGGACAAUGGGCGCAAGCCUGAUUCAGCAAUGCCGCGUGCAGGAUGAAGGCCUUCGGGUUGUAAACUGCUUUUGUACGGAACGAAAAGCCCUGGGUUAAUACCCUGGGGUCAUGACGGUACCGUAAGAAUAAGCACCGGCUAACUACGUGCCAGCCGCCGCCGUAA